UUUGGUGUCUCCGGGCGAGAGGUCGCGAGCGACUUUGGUGUGUCGCUCCAACGGGUCGCUCUGGAUCGGGAGCGACCUUGGUAGGUCGCUCUGAGAGGUCGCUCCAGGCUUCGCUUCGUGUCGUCUCUCCAUAAAGACGCGAGCGACCUCGGGGUGUCGCUUUGGGAGGUCGCUCCGAGAGGGGUGUGAGAUGCGAGCGACUGCACGGGGUCGCUCUAGCUAGGUCGCUCUGAGAGGUGCUUUGGAGCGACCUCAUGACGUCGCUGCGGAACCUCGCUCCCAUGCUCUGCUCGUCCAAUGAUCACCUGUUUCACGUCCUUUAAGCUCCAAAUGCAUCCAAAUGUCCCCAAGAACUCCAUGUGGCACUCCAACACCUAAUGAGGACAAUGAAUGCAAAAUGCAACCUAGACAUGGCUAAAUCCUAAUCUAUAUGAUGAAAAUGCUAAUGGAUGAAUGGAUAAAACAAUGCAAAUAUGCAAGAUAUCAACUCCCCCAAACUUGUUCUUUUACUUGUCCACAAGUGAACUUUCUAGAACUCAUAGGGAGAGAGGUUGAAGGAGGGAGCACAUAGCCAAAAGAAACACAACUAGCACACUCUCUUAUUACACUCUAGCUUCUCUAGGCCUAUCUUAACUCUUUUUGUUCUUACACUCAUCAUCAAGCAUCCACACAUUCAAAUCAACCAACUCUCACAUUCAUUAAGCACAAAACAUCAGGUGAAUUCUUGCAAAUGGUCAGUUGGUCCAAGUCAUUUGGUUGGGUAAGGGAAGGCUUUUAUUCAAGUGAUUCAAGAGGUUCAAAACAUAUGAUCUUUAAGGUGGUUUACUCUCAAAACAAGUAGCCUUGACAUUGCACAUAAUAUAUCUAAGAAAGGGACCAACUCAUGCAUACAAUGCUCAAUCUCCAUUGUUCUACCCUUUUCCCAAACAUACAAAUCACACAAUCAUUUCCCAAUGUCAAACCCUACUCACAUCUCUCACCAAAAGAUCCUAAGAACUUUAACUCCUUCUCUUUGAAAUCUACAAGGGAUUUUUCACAACCUCAAAACAUUUCUUAGCUCCUAACAACUUUGCUAGCCCCCCUUUUUCUUUUCUUUUUCUUUUUUUUUUUUUUCGAUUUCUUUUUUUUUUUAUAUUUUUUUUUUUUUUUUUAGGUUGGGGGCCAAGACUUUUCAAAACUAGAGCUAGAGGUUCUCUACUUAUCCCAGAAAAUCGAUUCACUUAAGCACAAAGAGUCUAUCCUUUUUAUUUUUCAUUUCUCCCAAAUCAUGAUCACAACACUCACCCUCCCACCUAUAGCUAGACAAAAGAGUGUCCAAUCUAGCAAAAAUGAAGAUCAAGCAUUGUCGUUCCCGAUACUCUCAACAUUAUGCGCAUGUAAGACUUUCCGAAGAAGGCCUCACUCAUCAAACAAUGAAAGCUUAAAAGGAAGGAAAGGUUUUGGGAGUGGUCUACCACUAGAGUUUGUCAAAAAGAUUGGCAUAAAAGAUGUGACAACUCCAGUGUGUAUAGCCAUGACUCAGUACACAAGGGACCCUAAGCAAGAAGCAUUAAGUUCAUUCAUUUCUAAUAAGGUUGUAGUUGGCUUCAAAGACUGAGUUUCAGCAAUCAACAAGUUUCAGGAAGAGUUUUCAAGGCUCGAAACAUACAAGUCUUUUUGAGAGGUGCAAAAGCUAGUCAAGUGCAACGUAGUGUUCUUUACAAGGCAUUCAAAUCAUUGCUCCCAAUGCAAGUGAAUGCAACCUAUAUGCUCUAGACUCUCCUAAAAAUGCAAAUGAUGCAAACUAAAUGAUUGAUUUUUUUUUUUUAUCUAUGCAAAUAGGUAUGCCAUGCAUGACUCAAUGAAACAACAUCAAAGCAAACAUGAUCAAAUACUUGGUACCUCCCCCAAACUUGAGUGACACAGUCUCUGUGUCGUCAAGUAGAGAGAGAGAUACCGAAAAGAAGACUAAUAUGCAAAAAUGAAAUGGUAUAUACAAGGGAGUGUGGUGGGUUACCUUCUAUAGGGAAUGAGUAGAGGG
rnacentral:lncRNA from 1 species